CGUCUCCUACCUCUGUCGCCUCUGUUAUCCCCAACCUCUUCCUCUCGGCUCUCUCUCCCAUAAGGCCGGCCACCACAAAGAGGUCGGCAUCGUUCGGAGCUCUCUCCACCUUAUCUCCCCAACAGCCGCUCUCUCUUUUGUAUCCCCACUUUCUCCCCCGGUGACGAAACAUCGAGACCGCAUCGGCCACCGACGAUGCAAGGAGGACGAAGCACGACUUCUUCCCAUCCCGGCCACCGGCGCUGCAAAGUCGAUGUUGCGGCGCAGCAUAAGCCGUAGCAGUUCUGCAAGGCGGGCUCGGCGCUGUGAGGCGGGAGCGCGGGCUGCUCCUUCGGUGGGCGGUGGAGCUACAACCCAAUGGGCGUGCCGCUACGCGGCGACGGCGGAGCUGCAAUGUGGGUGGUGAGCGGAGGAGCUGCAACGCGGGUGGUGAGCGGAGGAGCUGCAGCGCAACGGCCAUGGUGUUGCGCGUCGGCGACGGAGACGCAGGGCAACGACCAUGGUGUUGUGUGCCGUCGGCGGAGCUACAGUGCAACACGCCGGUGAGUGACAGAGCUGCAGUGCAAUGGGGGCAUAGUGGCCGGCACCAGAGCUGCAACGCAACACACCGGUGUUGCUAUGGAGCAUCGCCGGGGGGCGCCGGAGUUGCUAUGGAGCAUCGACAGGCCGUUGAUGUUGCAUUGGAGCAUCGCCUGUGCUGUAUUGAAGCACCGCCGAGGUCGCCGGGGCUGCAAUGACGGGUCGCCGGGGUCGUUUAAACUUCGCCGUCCAUGCAAUGGAGCGCCGCCGGAGCUGCAAUGGAGCGCUGCCGGAGUCGCCGGGCUGCAAUGAAGCCUCACGGAGGGUCGCCGGUGCUGCGUUGAAGCGCCGUCGGGGUUGCCGGGGCUGCAAUGGAGCGCCGCCGAGGCCGGAGCUGCACAGCUGGAGCUUCACUGGGCGUCACCGCUGCUGUGUUGAAGCGUCGCCGGGUCGUCGGGGCUGCAAUGUCGCUUCGCUGGGCUGUCAUUCAAGCUUUGCCGGUGCGGGUGCUACGGGACGGCAAGCUGGUGCCCUGGCCGGAGCUACGCGCGAGCAUGCGCUGGGAGCCGGAGCUGUUGCGGAAAGAAUGAACAGGUGGGGUUGGAGCAAGGACGUGGUCAACUCCACGGGAGAUCAAACCGUCCUAAUCAGGGCGAAUCUAUGGCUGGCGAGGCGGCUGAUCCUUUCCCAGGAUGAGUCGGCUUACGCCUAGCAGUGGCCAAUAAUAAAGCACGGGUUGAGUCCGUUGGGUUCACCGUCGUGCCGUUUUUGCAAUAAAGUCCCUGUGCCUUUUGAUAAUUGAACCCGCACUCCUUUUUUAAGUGGAACUGGGAAAAACGCUUCGUUGUUGCAAAAAAGUCGCUGACCUCUUUAAGAAUCAACCCGGAGUCCCCAAUAGCCCGAGCGCCUCUCCUUCUCACGAGUGGAUCCGCCGCUGCCCUCGCCCCAUCGUCGCCCCACCACCGCUCGCCGCUGCGGAUCCGCCAACUCCGCCGCCGUUCCUCUCUAGCCUCCGCCGCUGCCGGCCCUCUCCGCCCUCCCCCGGUCUUCUCCCCCUCCGUCGCCCUGUUCUUCUUCCCCUCCCCAUCCUCUCCUAAUCUUCUCCGGCGCGCGCACUCGCGGAUGCAGGCGAAUGGCUCGGGCAGGAGACAUGGCUCACGGCGGCGGCGUCUCUCCUCGGGAGGAGCUCGAGCGUUGAGGUCGGGGUGUGCGCUGCCCCUAGGACGGAGUCCACCGAUCCGUGCUGGUCAUGGUCCACCACCACCACGCCUUCAAUCCGACCUCCACAACUUCAGCAAGCAGGAGCAUCGCAAUGGUUUGUAUGCUAAGAUAAACUUGAGUGACGAGGUUGAUUUGUUUGUAUGCUAGGAUGAACUUGAGUGACGAGGUUGAUUUGGAAGAUCAUGUCUCCAGACAGGAUAAAAUCAGUGCUGCUAAUGUGAGUUGAUUUGGAAGAUUGUCUCCAGACAGGAUAAAAUCAAUGCUGAUGAUGAAGCUGGCACGCCUAUUAUCCGCAAAAAUCGGUAAUGUUAUCCUGCCCAAGGACUUCGAGAAGGGUUACCGAACCAACGUCAAGAAGCCUUAGACAGACUUUGACUUCUACAAAUGAGGCAACGAACUAUUAAAGAGGAUGGUUUAUUUCCUACGGGCAACAAUUAUUAACACUAGAGUUGAAUUUGUUGACGGUCGCGUCCGACAGUAAUAUCCCUGUAUCUUGGUGCUCCUGUAGUUUGCACAUUCAGUCUCAUUAGUGUUGUUAAGCUACUUGCCUGCAAAAAGCGUCAUGGGAGUUGCUUCCCAGCGAGAGAGAAGAGUUCAAAAAGGGAGAGAGCAAAGAAGAAGGACAAGGAGAGGGCAGUGGUGUCGUGUGGAGACUGGCCGGUGAGGCAUAACUAGAAGUUUCUCUAAUGGUCGACAACAAGGAUCACUGCACAACAGGCUUUGGAGCAGGCUCCGAUUCAUAGAGAACUCCCCAACAACCUCAUCUUUUGAGGAUGUUAGAUGGAUAUUGAAUCCAGUAAGCCUCCAAUAGAUAAAGGAAGUCAAAUUUUCUGUUGGUAAUUUGCACGACAGGGUUCUAGCAAAUUUAUGAUUGUGCCUACAACAAACUACCUCUGCCUGAAGAUUUGAGAUUUUUCAGAGAAGAAAGAACUCUAGAGGUGUGCAUGUUUGUCAUAUUUUUAUGGAGAAUCAAGUCUGCAGAAUACCUACUGAUUUGAGGAAUUCGGAUGUUACCCAUGGUCAUACACAGAUGUAGUUUAUGAGAAACUAUCUUAUGUUGAUGGUGUGUAAGCAUAUCAGCCUCCCGGUUGCCUAUUUCAUUCCUCACGGGACCAUUAUGCUGGGCUAAUUGAGGUACACACCAAGAGGGAGAAUUUCGGCAGCUGAAAAUCUGGA